CAGCAAAUUGCCAGUAGAACUACAAAGCUAUGUGGAUUUCUGAACAAACUUGGAGCCAAGGGGUUAAAAAGAUGGAAAAUGAGAUGGUUUGUUUAUGAUGAAAGAAAAUGCAGGCUGUAUUAUUACAGGACUCCUCAAGAUGCAACACCUCUUGGAGUCAUUGAUGUGGCUAAUGCUUCGUUCUCAUUCGAUGUGGCAGAUGCUGAGACGCUUAACGACUUUCACAUUAAGUAAGGAGAUUCCUUAUAU